GACAUGGCUCAGGAUGAACGCUAGCUACAGGCUUAACACAUGCAAGUCGAGGGGCAGCAUGAUGGAAGCUUGCUUCCGUUGAUGGCGACCGGCGCACGGGUGAGUAACGCGUAUCCAACCUGCCCUUGUCCACCGGAUAACCCGUCGAAAGGCGGACUAACACGGUAUGCAGUCCACAGCAGGCAUCUAACGUGGACGAAAUGUGAAGGAGAAGGAUGGGGAUGCGU
rnacentral:rRNA from 1 species